rnacentral:rRNA from 1 species
CGCAUCUGUGCAUGCAGCAUAUCAAUAAGCAGGAGGAAAAGAAACUAACAAGGAUUCCCCUAGUAACGGCGAGUGAAGCGGGAAGAGCUCAAGUUUGAAAUCUUAAAGGGUUUCCCUUUACGAAUUGUAGUUUAAAGAAGUGUUUUCUGUUGAGGUUUUGGUAAAAGUUCUUUGGAAUAGGACAUCAUAGAGGGUGAGAAUCCCGUAUUUGACCUUUACUUUCAACUUUGUGAGUACACUUUCAAAGAGUCGGAUUGUUUGGGAAUGCAGUCCAAAAUGGGUGGUAAAUUUCAUCUAAAGCUAAAUAUUGGCGAGAGACCGAUAGCGAACAAGUACCGUGAGGGAAAGAUGAAAAGAACUUUGAAAAGAGAGUUAAACAGUACGUGAAAUUGUCAAAAGGGAAGCGUUUGACACCAGUGUUGUUUUUCUGAAAAUCAAUUAAAGAACUGUUUAUGCUAAGUUGUUUAGACUUUAUCAGCUAACUGUUUAGUUUUGAGCUUUUCUUUAAUGCACUUUUCAGUUAACAAGUCAACAUCAAUUUCUUUUGCUGUAAAAAAGCUUGAGGAAGGUGGCUUGAGAUUCGUCUUAAGUGUUUAUAGCCUCUUGCCUAUGCAGUCGGAGAGAUUGAGGUCUGCAGCGUAGAUCCUUCGGGGCUAAAUGCAUUUGUGCUAAGUUAUAGCAUUUUAUAGACAACUUGUUGACUAUGAUUUGUCUUGUAGCUUACUCGCUUAUGUUAUUUUACCUACGCUUAGGAUGUUGAACGCGCACAGAGUCUC